rnacentral:snoRNA from 1 species
UGCCUCUAAGGCUUACCACAAGCUGUGUUCUUACACUGAAUGUAUAGAAAGAGGAGCCAGAGCAAAUCCUAUCUGAUAUACACCCAAGCCCAAGGCCCUGGGCCUGGUCUGUAUUGUGAAUGGGGGGAUAUGG